GACGAACGCUGGCGGCGUGCCUAAUACAUGCAAGUCGAGCGCAGGAAACUGACGGAACUCUUCGGAGGGAAGGCAGUGGAAUGAGCGGCGGACGGGUGAGUAACACGUAAGGAACCUGCCUCAAGGAUUGGGAUAACUCCGAGAAAUCGGAGCUAAUACUGGAUAGUUCAUCGGACCGCAUGGUCCGCUGAUGAAAGGCGCUCCGGCGUCACCUUGAGUUGGCCUUGCGGUGCAUUACCUAGUUGGUGGGGUAACGGCCCACCAAGGCGACGAUGCAUAGCCGACCUGAGAGGGUGAUCGGCCACACUGGGACUGAGACACGGCCCAGACUCCUACGGGAGGCAGCAGUAGGGAAUCUUCCACAAUGGGCGAAAGUCUGAUGGAGCAACGCCGCGUGAGUGAUGAAGGUUCUCGGAUCGUAAAACUCUGUUGUAAGGGAAGAACACGUACGAGAGGGAAUGCUCGUACCUUGACGGUACCUUACGAGAAAGCCACGGCUAACUACGUGCCAGCAGCCGCCGUAA
rnacentral:rRNA from 1 species